GUGGGCCCUUCAGAUGAGGGCUGCUUGGAGAUCACAAGGUUCGAAGUUCAACCCUCGUUGAGGCUCAGUGAAUUUUAAAGGCUGCUCUCCAGAGGAGAGAGUGAAAGGCUUUGGGAGGAGCACUAAGCAGCCAGUAGUUCACCAGAUAAAAACAGCAAUAAACCAGCUCACUCAAUCCUUGGCAGCGAUCACAUCAUUAUCUACAGCAGCAUUAUUAGGCAACUUUGCUUUAUUUCAACUUCGCAAGCUGCUAGCUAGUACAAAUGCUUUCUGUAUGUCGCACCUGAGGACUUGAAGGUCUUUUCAUGAUGAUAACCCAAUAAUUUGACAAAUUAUGACCUCUUGUUGUCUGUCAGUCACAACCUACCUACCUGAGAUGCGCACAGAUAACUCGUCCUGCCCCUCUCUUCCACAGUGACGUGACUGAGCAUGGUGCAGGACAGGUUCAGGGUCAGGUCAAAUAACAACAGGGGAGUUGUUGUUUACUUUUUCUUUAUUUGUUCUUUUUUUUUCAAGACAGAGUAUGAUGAAAGGGCACCAGUCAGGGCUGCAAAUUAUUUUUAGUAUUUAUUUUAUUUUAUUUUUGUUGGUUCCUCAUUCGCAGCCAAUCGUGAGCUGACUAUAGUGAUCUCAGAGAUCAUGUAUGUGCUGAUCGUGGUUCUGCAACUGUGGCUAAUCGUGGUUCUGGUCUACUGUUACAACAAGAUUUCGGAGGAGCACGAAGCUCGGGAGGCCCGUAAAGCUCUCAAGGCUCAGACACAGCUGUUAGAAUCAAAAGACAACUGUGACGGCGUGCAGCUGGAGUAACAUUAAUGGU